rnacentral:rRNA from 1 species
UGAGGAACAUGACUUUCGGCGGGGGAUAGCCGGCCCAACGGCCGGGUAAUACCGCGUACGACCUUUUGGGGACAUCCCCGAUUGGUGAAAGCAGCAAUGCGCCGAAAGAGUGCCUCGCGGCCUAUCAGCUAGUUGGUGGGGUAAUGGCUCACCAAGGCAACGAUGCGUAGCCGACUGAGAGGGUGAUCGGCCACAUUGGAACUGAGACACGGUCCAGACUCCGUACGGGAGCAGC